UGGGAACGUACCCUUUGGUUCGGAACAACCCAGGGAAACUUGGGUUAAUACCGGAUAAGUCCGUAAGGAGAAAGAUUUAUCGCCAAAGGAUCGGCCCGCGUCUGAUUAGCUAGUUGGUAGGGUAAUGGCCUACCAAGGCUACGAUCAGUAGCUGGUCUGAGAGGAUGAUCAGCCACAUUGGGACUGAGACACGGCCCAGACUCCUACGGGAGGCAG
rnacentral:rRNA from 1 species